GCUGGGCAUGGUGGCUCAUGCCUGUAAUCCCAGCACUUUGGGAGGCUGAGGUGGGUGGAUCACCUGAGGUCAGGAGUUUGAGACCAGCCUGGCCAACCUGGUGAAACCCCAUCUCUACUAAAAAUUUAAACAUUAGCUGGGCAUGGUGGCAGAUGCCUGUAAUCCCAGCUACUCAGGGGGCUGAGGCAGGAGAAUCACUUGAACCUGGGAGGUGGAGGUUGCAGGGAGCCGAUAUCGUGCCAUUGCACUCCAGCCUGGGCGACAAAGUGAGACUCCAUCUCA
rnacentral:sRNA from 10 species